rnacentral:rRNA from 1 species
CGCGGCCUAUCAGCUUGUUGGUGAGGUAACGGCUCACCAAGGCAUCGACGGGUAGCUGGUCUGAGAGGAUGAUCAGCCACACUGGGACUGAGACACGGCCCAGACUCCUACGGGAGGCAGCAGUGGGGAAUAUUGCACAAUGGGCGCAAGCCUGAUGCAGCAACGCCGCGUGCGGGAUGAAGGCCCUAGGGUUGUAAACCGCUUUCAGCAGGGAAGAAAAUGACGGUACCUGCAGAAGAAGGUGCGGCCAACUACGUGCCAGCAGCCGCGGUGACACGUAGGCACCAAGCGUUGUCCGGAUUUAUUGGGCGUAAAGAGCUCGUAGGCGGUUCAGUUAGUCGGGUGUGAAAACUCUGGGCUCAACCCAGAGACGCCACCCGAUACUGCUGUGACUAGAGUACGGUAGGGGAGUGGGGAAUUCCUGGUGUAGCGGUGAAAUGCGCAGAUAUCAGGAGGAACACCAGUGGCGAAGGCGCCACUCUGGGCCGUAACUGACGCUGAGGAGCGAAAGCAUGGGUAGCAAACAGGAUUAGAUACCCUGGUAGUCCAUGCCGUAAACGUUGGGCACUAGGUGUGGGUCUCAACCAACGAGAUCCGCGCCGUCGCUAACGCAUUAAGUGCCCCGCCUGGGGAGUACGG